GAACGGGUGAGUAACACGUGGGUAACCUGCCCCGAUGAUUGGGACAACCCGGGGAAACUCGGGCUAAUACCAAAUAUGCUUUCCGGCCACAAGGCCGGUUCGGAAAGGAAGCUUCGGCCUCCGCAUCGGGAUGGGCCCGCGGCCCAUUAGCUUGUUGGUGAGGUAACGGCUCACCAAGGCGACGAUGGGUAGCUGGUCUGAGAGGACGAUCAGCCACACUGGGACUGAGACACGGCCCAG
rnacentral:rRNA from 1 species